CAGUCGCCGCGGGAAUACGAAGGGUGCAAGCGUUAAUCGGAAUUACUGGGCGUAAAGCGUGCGUAGGCGGUUUGUUAAGUCUGUUGUGAAAUCCCCGGGCUCAACCUGGGAAUGGCAAUGGAUACUGGCAAGCUAGAGUGUGUCAGAGGAUGGUGGAAUUCCCGGUGUAGCGGUGAAAUGCGUAGAGAUCGGGAGGAACAUCAGUGGCGAAGGCGGCCAUCUGGGACAACGCUGACGCUGAGGCACGAAAGCGUGGGGAGCAAACAGGAUUAGAUACCCGAGUAGUCCCUGUCUCUUAUAC
rnacentral:rRNA from 1 species